AGGGCGUAUGGGGAAUGCCUAGGCACACUCCGGCGAAGAAGGACGCAGCAAACAGCGAAAUGCGACGGUGAGCGGUAAGCACGUGAAGAGCCGUCGAUAUCCGAAUGGGGGAACCCACACGGAGUCAUAUCCGUGUAUCACAUGUCGAAUACAUAGACAUGAUGAGGCGAGACGCAGGGAACUGAAACAUCUAAGUACCUGCAGGAAGAGAAAAUAAGAAUGAUUUUCUGAGUAGCGGCGAGCGAAAGGGAAAGAGCCCAAACCGAUUUGAGGAUCGGGGUAGUAGGAUCAUCGAUAAAUCAAACAGAGGAUCAUAGAGGAAUCACAUGGGAAGGUGAGCGAGAGAGGGUGAGAGCCCCGUACUCGAAAUGAGAGACUGGAGAGAGAUGACACCUGAGUAGGGCGGGACACGAGAAAUCCUGUCUGAAUCAGCCGGGACCAUCCGGCAAGGCUAAAUACGAGAGAGUGACCGAUAGUGAACCAGUACCGUGAGGGAAAGGUGAAAAGAACCCCGGGAGGGGAGUGAAAGAGAACCUGAAACCAUAUGCCUACAAGAAGUCAGAGCCCGUUAAAGGGUGAUGGCGUGCCUUUUGUAGAAUGAACCGGCGAGUUACUGUAUGGAGCGAGGUUAAGCAGGAUAUGCGGAGCCGAAGCGAAAGCGAGUCUUAAGAGGGCGCGAGUUGCAUGCAGUAGACCCGAAACCGGGUGAUCUAGCCAUGACCAGGUUGAAGUUGGGGUAAAACCCGAUGGAGGACCGAACCGACCCCCGUUGAAACGUUGGCGGAUGAGUUGUGGCUAGGGGUGAAAUUCCAAUCGAACCCGGAGAUAGCUGGUUCUCCCCGAAAUAGCUUUAGGGCUAGCGUCGAGGUAAGAGUUGCGUGAAGGUAGAGCACUGAAUAUGUGAUGGCCCCAUCUCGGGGUACUGAGCAUAAUCAAACUGCGAAUGUCACGCCAACAUGCUCGGCAGUCAGACAGCGGGUGAUAAGGUCCGUUGUCAAGAGGGAAACAGCCCAGACCAUCAGCUAAGGUCCCAAAAUGUAUGCUAAGUGGAAAAGGAUGUGGAGAUGUACAGACAACUAGGAGGUUGGCUCAGAAGCAGCCAUCCUUUAAAGAGUGCGUAACAGCUCACUAGUCGAAUGACUCUGCGCCGAUAAUUUACCGGGGCUAAGCAUACUACCGAAGCUAUGGAUCCCAAGGGAUGGUAGGGGAGCGUUCCAUGAACGGAGAAGUACGACCGAAAGGACGUGUGGAGAUCAUGGAAGAGAGAAUGCCGGUGUGAGUAGCGGAACGUGGGUGAGAAUCCCACGCACCGAAAACCCAAGGUUUCCAGAGGAAGGUUCGUCCGCUCUGGGUAAGUCGGGACCUAAGGCGAGGCCGAAAGGCGUAGUCGAUGGACAACAGGUAGAGAUUCCUGUACCCGUAUAUAUGUGAAGGAAUGACGGAGAGAGGAAGCUGCAGCCAGCGGCUGGAAGAGCUGGUGCAAGCGAGAUAUCGGGAUGGCAGGCAAAUCCACCAUCCGAAACGAGAAGGCGUGAAGCGUACGGAAAGCUACGGCGAGUACGGAAGGCAGUGGAGGAACUUCCAAGAAAAGUUUCUAACGUUAAGUAUAUAUGGCCCGUACCGAAAAUGGACACACAUGGGUGAGGAGAGAAUCCUAAGGUGAGCGAGAGAACUAUAGCUAAGGAACUCUGCAAAAUGACUCCGUAACUUAGGGAGAAGGAGUGCUCAUAGAGAUAUGAGCCGCAGUGAAACGGCCCAAGCGACUGUUUACCAAAAACACAGCUCUCUGCUAAGCCGCAAGGCGAAGUAUAGGGGGUGACGCCUGCCCGGUGCUGGAAGGUUAAGGGGAGGGGUUAACGCAAGUGAAGCCCUGAACUGAAGCCCCAGUAAACGGCGGCCGUAACUAUAACGGUCCUAAGGUAGCGAAAUUCCUUGUCAGGUAAGUUCUGACCCGCACGAAAGGCGUAACGAUUUGGGCGCUGUCUCAGCUGUAGACUCGGUGAAGUCUUAGUACCUGUGAAGAUGCAGGUUACCCGCGACUAGACGGAAAGACCCCAUGGAGCUUCACUGCAGGUUGAUAUUGGGAUUUGAUGCAGCAUGUACAGGAUAGGUAGGAGGCAAAGAGAUGGAUACGCCAGUAUUCAAGGAGCCGCUGUUGGGAUACUACCCCUGUUGUAUUGGAUUUCUAACCGGACGACGUAGAGCCGUUGACGGGACAGUGUCAGUCGGGCAGUUUGACUGGGGCGGUCGCCUCCCAAAGAGUAACGGAGGCGCCCAAAGAUACCCUCAGCUUGGAUGGAAACCAAGCGCAGAGUGCAAAGGCAAAAGGGUGUUUGACUGCGAGA
rnacentral:rRNA from 1 species